GCCAACAUGAUGUAGUGGUUUGAGCGUUAGACUACAACUCUGGAGAUCGGGGUUUGAUUCCCUGCUUAGCCA